UUAGGAGCCUCAGUCUUGCA
rnacentral:misc_RNA from 1 species